rnacentral:rRNA from 1 species
CCAGCGAGUAAUGUCGGGAACUCCAGGGAGACUGCCGGUGAUAAACCGGAGGAAGGUGGGGACGACGUCAAGUCAUCAUGGCCCUUACGAGUAGGGCUACACACGUGCUACAAUGGCGCAUACAGAGGGCAGCCAACUCGCGAGAGUGAGCGAAUCCCAAAAAGUGCGUCGUAGUCCGGAUUGGAGUCUGCAACUCGACUCCAUGAAGUCGGAAUCGCUAGUAAUCGUAGAUCAGAAUGCUACGGUGAAUACGUUCCCGGGCCUUGUACACACCGCCCGUCACACCAUGGGAGUGGGCUGCAAAAGAAGUGGGUAGUUAAC